rnacentral:rRNA from 1 species
AUGCUGCGGUGAAUGCGUUCCCGGGUCUUGUACCCACCGCCCGUCACACCACGGGAGUUGGAGACGCCCGAAGCCGAUUAUCUAACCUUUUGGAAGAAGUCGUCGAAGGUGGAAUCAAUAACUGGGGGGAAGUCGUAACAAGGUAGCCGUAUCGGAAGGUGCGGCUGGAUCACCUCCUUUCUAAGGAGA